UUACCUGGCCUUGACAUGCUGAGAACUUUCCAGAGAUGGAUUGGUGCCUUCGGGAACUCAGACACAGGUGCUGCAUGGCUGUCGUCAGCUCGUGUCGUGAGAUGUUGGGUUAAGUCCCGUAACGAGCGCAACCCUUGUCCUUAGUUACCAGCACGUAAUGGUGGGCACUCUAAGGAGACUGCCGGUGACAAACCGGAGGAGGGUGGGGAUGACGUCAAGUCCUCAUGGCCCUUAUGGGUAGGGCUUCACACGUCAUACAAUGGUCGGUACAGAGGGUUGCCAACCCGCGAGGGGGAGCUAAUCCCACAAAGCCGAUCGUAGUCCGGAUCGCAGUCUGCAACUCGACUGCGUGAAGUCGGAAUCGCUAGUAAUCGUGGAUCAGCAUGUCACGGUGAAUACGUUCCCGGGUCUU
rnacentral:rRNA from 1 species